CUGCCCUUAGAGUUUGAUCCUGGCUCAGGACGAACGCUGGCGGCGUGCUUAACACAUGCAAGUCGAACGGUGAACUCAGGGCUUGCCCUGGGGGAUCAGUGGCGAACGGGUGAGUAACACGUGAGCAACCUGCCCCUGACUCUGGGAUAACUCCGGGAAACCGGUGCUAAUACCGGAUAUGACCUGCGCGGGCAUCUGUGUGGGUGGAAAGAUUUUUUGGUCAGGGAUGGGCUCGCGGCCUAUCAGCUUGUUGGUGGGGUGAUGGCCUACCAAGGCGACGACGGGUAGCCGGCCUGAGAGGGCGACCGGCCACACUGGGACUGAGACACGGCCCAGACUCCUACGGGAGGCAGCAGUGGGGAAUAUUGCUCAAUGGGCGCAAGCCUGAAGCAGCGACGCCGCGUGAGGGAUGAAGGCCUUCGGGUUGUAAACCUCUUUCAGCAGGGAAGAAGCGAAAGUGACGGUACCUGCAGAAGAAGCACCGGCUAACUACGUGCCAGCAGCCGCGGUAAUACGUAGGGUGCAAGCGUUGUCCGGAAUUAUUGGGCGUAAAGAGCUCGUAGGCGGUCUGUCGCGUCUGCUGUGAAAACCUGGGGCUUAACCCUGGGCCUGCAGUGGGUACGGGCAGACUAGAGUGCGGUAGGGGAGACUGGAAUUCCUGGUGUAGCGGUGAAAUGCGCAGAUAUCAGGAGGAACACCGGUGGCGAAGGCGGGUCUCUGGGCCGUAACUGACGCUGAGGAGCGAAAGCAUGGGUAGCGAACAGGAUUAGAUACCCUGGUAGUCCAUGCCGUAAACGUUGGGCGCUAGGUGUGGGGCUCAUUCCACGAGUUCCGUGCCGCAGCAAACGCAUUAAGCGCCCCGCCUGGGGAGUACGGCCGCAAGGCUAAAACUCAAAGGAAUUGACGGGGCCCCGCACAAGCGGCGGAGCAUGCGGAUUAAUUCGAUGCAACGCGAAGAACCUUACCAAGGCUUGACAUGCAGGGAAAUCCUCCAGAGAUGGGGGGUCCGCAAGGGUCCUGCACAGGUGGUGCAUGGUUGUCGUCAGCUCGUGUCGUGAGAUGUUGGGUUAAGUCCCGCAACGAGCGCAACCCUCGUUCUAUGUUGCCAGCACGUGAUGGUGGGGACUCAUAGGAGACUGCCGGGGUCAACUCGGAGGAAGGUGGGGAUGACGUCAAAUCAUCAUGCCCCUUAUGUCUUGGGCUUCACGCAUGCUACAAUGGCCGGUACAAUGGGCUGCGAGACCGUAAGGUGGAGCGAAUCCCAAAAAGCCGGUCUCAGUUCGGAUUGGGGUCUGCAACUCGACCCCAUGAAGUCGGAGUCGCUAGUAAUCGCAGAUCAGCAACGCUGCGGUGAAUACGUUCCCGGGGCUCGUACACACCGCCCGUCACGUCACGAAAGUCGGUAACACCCGAAGCCGGUGGCCCAACCCCUUGUGGGGGGGAGCUGUCGAAGGUGGGACUGGCGAUUGGGACGAAGUCGUAACAAGGUAGCCGUACCGGAAGGUGCGGCUGGAUCACCUCCUUAAGGGCAGCUGGCGUA
rnacentral:rRNA from 1 species